rnacentral:rRNA from 1 species
CCUACGGGUGGCAGCAGUGAGGAAUAUUGGUCAAUGGACGCAAGUCUGAACCAGCCAUGCCGCGUGCAGGAAGACGGCGCGAUGAGUUGUAAACUGCUUUUGUACGAGGGUAAACGCAGAUAAGCGUAUCUGUCUGAAAGUAGCGUACGAAUAAGGAUCGGCUAACUCCGUGCCAGCAGCCGCGGUAAUACGGAGGAUUCAAGCGUUAUCCGGAUUUAUUGGGUUUAAAGGGUGCGUAGGCGGUCGGAUAAGUUAGAGGUGAAAUCCCGAGGCUCAACUUCGGAAUUGCCUCUGAUACUGUUCGGCUAGAGCGUAGUUGCGGUCGGCGUCAUGUCUGGUGUAGCGG